GUGGGAGCAAGGAGGGAGGACUUCCUGCUCGGUGGGCGCUGCCUCAGUCCGCCAUGAGGGCCGCGACCCCUCGGAGGGGCAGAGCGGAGGCGGUGGAGUCGCUGUUGUCUCGUUCUCUCAGCCGCCCGGCCACCCCCACGUUGGUCGAGUGUCCCGGGAACGAUGAUGAGAGGGAAAGGAGGCAGCGCCGGCGCUCUCGGGCGGUGGAUCUGCAGCUCGGCGGCACCGAGUCGCCGCUCAGUCUCUGCUCUCCGGUGUCCAGGCCGGCGGAUGCGUCGCUGCCGGUUCUGUCGGGAUGGACGAACGCGCAGAUCUCGAAGCAUUACGCCGCCUGCAUCAAACUGUCUGCCGAGAACAAAAUCAACACCAAGAAUGUUUUUGGCUUACAUCUGAUAGACUACAUGACAGAUAUACUGAAACAGAAGGACUCCGAGCUGAUCAACUUCAAGAUGGCAGCUGGCACCAUCGAUGCCAGCGCGAAGAUCUACGCUGUGCGUGUGGAUGUGGUCCAUGCUGAUACAUACAAAGUUCUUGGAGGCUUAGGCAAGGAGCCUGCACCUACAAAAGAUGUGGGAGGCCCAGAGGAAGAGGAAGACAAUACAGCUCCCAAGAAAGUUCAAACAAAGAAAAAACAUUCCUUCAAAACGAUUGAACAGAACUUGAACAACAUCAAUGUGACAGAGACCAAUCGGAGAUGUGAGGUUGACCCCAUGUUCCAGAAAACAGCAGCAUCUUUUGAUGAAUGCAGCACAGCUGGAAUCUUCCUCACCAGCCUACGUACACAGAGCUGUAAUAGCGAGCUCCUUUUUGACUCCAAGAUCGUGCCUCUCCCAUCUUCGGAAACCCUUGUUCUGCCCAACAAUGAUCCUGUGAAUGUGACAGAUUUGAAGCUGCUGCUAGAAAAGUGUGUUUUAAAACACCCCAUCUGUUCUACGCUGGCUGAUUUCCAGUUCAUGAAGUGGGACGCCGAAUCCCAUGAGGAGUCAGUAUCAGCCCUGCUGGAUAAGUUUAAGAAGAGCGACCAAGUAUUCGAUAUCAAUGCAGAAAGAGACAGUGAUGUGGAAGAUGAUGUUCCUGCCCUGUCAGAUGAUGACUUCAAUGCGGACUCCCCCAGGAGUGUAGCAGCAGAAAAUAUUGGGGAAUUUGCAGGAGACAAAUCUCUCAUGGUAGUCCAUGAGAACAGCAAGAGAACUGAUGCGAUUUCUUUUGGAGAAGGAGACAUCGGGACCAUGUGCCUUCAUCUCUCCAUGAAACCAGGGGAAUACUCCUACUUCAGCCCCCGAAUUCUGUCAAUGUGGGCUGGCCCGGAGCACUGGCACUUCAAACCUCGACACAAAUCAAGCGUUGACUCUGAGAAAGAGAACAAGAAGAAGAAGGCAAAGAAAGCAUUUGAAGUGAACUUCGAUGAGGAUAUUGACUUUGAGACCUAUUUCCGUAAGACAAAGGCUGCUUUAACUCUGAGUAAAUCCAUUCUGGAAAACCAGAACGUGAAGAGCACCACACUUCCUGCAGACUUCAACUACAACCCGAACAACAUCGUCCAGCUGUUCCUUAAACCAGCUGCUAAGUCUCAUCUCUGCAGCUCUUCAGGCUGCCUGAGGCCGGAAGCUCGUUGGAUCACGAAGAUGAGAUCGGCGAAUAUGAUUACAAUAACCCCAAUGACACCUCCAAUUUCUGCCCUGCAGCACAGGCUGCAGACAGUGAUGAUGACAACGAGCCCGUUCAAUUCAUGGGCCAAACAGAGUUCAACCUUACCUCUCACCCCGAGGGUCAAGAUCACGAGCUCAAUGGGGUUGAUGGAGUUGAUAUCACGAUGUACGGGGAGAUGAACCUCAUCGCUGAGCCUCAGAAGGUCAAUAAGAUUGCGAUUCAGUACGCGAAGACAGCCAAGAAAAUGGACAUGAAGAGGUUGAAACAAAGCAUGUGGGACCUUCUUACUGAUAUACAGAGAAACUCAGUGGCACAGAUUGAAGAUGUGGAGAAACAGAGCGACAAGUCAGUGGUGACAGGGGAAAAGGCCUUCAGCAGCGUCACAAAGGAACUGAUUUACAGGUUGCCUUCUGUGAUGGCUAAAAAUCUGUCUGUCCCUUUGGCCUUCGCCUGCCUCUUGCACUUGGCAAAUGAGAAGAACCUGAAACUGAACAGCACGGAGGACCUGUCUGAUGUCAUCGUGAGACAAGGAGACUGAGCCGCGUGUGGAGCAGCUCAGCCAGGCUGACCCCCAUGCUGGAGCUUUGCUCCCCAGCUGGGCAGUGCUUGUUCUGCAGCAGGGGCAGGUUUUCCUCCUCCCAGCAUCGCUGAGAAGCCCUGCUGCUCUGUGGGUGACUGAACUGCAGAUGUGGUCCCACCUACUAAACCUGGAGGCCAUACAGAGGCCAUACAGACGGCCAGCUGCUGCUCAGCCUGCCCCCUUCCACCCAUCCCUCCUUCCUGGGAUGAGGAGCAGAGUUGUGCAGUUCCUCUGAACUCCGUCAUUGGUUGCCUGUAACCCAGUAUACUGAGUGACUUAGCGACGUUUCCAGUUCUCAUGGUCCUUUACCUUUGUCUGGUCUUUCCCUGACAUGACUGAUACUGAGCUCCCCAAUAAUAAAUUCCUACUGACUUUGUUA